UAGUACUUAAAAAAAUAUUUAUUAUAAUUAUCAAUGUUGAAUGUUGCUUAAUAUUUUUGUGGAAAAUCUUUUUUUUUUCAGAAUUCUUUGAUGAAUGGAAAGUAAAAAAAAAAAGCAUUUAUUUGAAACUGAAAUCUUUUACCGUCACUUUUGAUCAGUUUAUGCAUCCUUGAGUAUAAAAAGCACAUGCAAAAUUAUUGAAACUUUGAUAGCUGUCAAGUAACUCUCCAAGGACUCUACUGCUACUGAAAGAAAACUGGCUGACUGACCUUCAUCAUGAGCACCACAGUGUUGAGAGCAAUCAUGAUCAUGAUGGAGUACUCAAACGGUGGAGAGACCACAAACUUCCACAAGCGGUACUGAAAGGACUGCUGGUUCUGUGGCAUAUAGCGGGUCAGCGGUUUGGCAUUGAUAGCAAAGUCGAUGCAGGCUCUCUGAGAGGAAAAACAGCAAAAGAGGAAUAAAUUCUCAUAACAGACACACACAACUACUGUUGUCCAUCUUUAUCUUUCAAAAAAAGGCUUUCUGAAAUCACAUUCCCUCUCUCAUAAUCAAAACGAAUCAUACAAAUAGCAGUGAAAACUGUGGAAGACACCAUCUAAACCUGUGGAGAAACAAGAAAAUAGACCUCUAAUGGCGCUGAUAUUUUUUGGCUGCGUUGCCGUGAAUGUUGAUGAUAAAUGACUUCUCCUGAGGUCUGGGUUUUUACCACAGUUUGUGAGUCAUGUUAGGCUGGCAUAUGGAGAGGGAGAGAGUGAAACAGCACAGGCUCUGCAGACGACUGGUCCGUCUAAUGGGGCCUCAAGAGGAAAUGGGACAGAAGCAUCUUGCUGACUGCUCUUCCAUGGGACUGGCUGUCUCUGUGUAUGUCUUUAGUCACUGUGUGUCAGUGUAUGAAUCUAUACCUGUUUCUGUGUGUGUAUUUAGGUGUGUAUGGUCGGCCGCAGGCACAUGCAUUAAUCCUGUCACAAUUCCCUAUCUGGACAUCUGCAGCUGUUACCAUGGCUGGCUUCACUGUAGACUGCACUCUGACAAGGCCUUAUCACCCUGUUCCUGGAAUGUGAUGAUUAUCAAGGCCACGAAAAUGUUGACAAGAAAAAGGGGAAGACCACAAAGUAGACCACGUAGAAGAUGGACAUCUCCAUGCGGUAGCCAGGACUGGGACCCAGGUCCUCAAAAGUGGCAUCUACAGAGUGCUUCAAAACCCUGUACACAGACAACAUUACACCAUUACAGUUUCAGAAAAUAAAGUGCAUUGUGGGAGAGAGAAGAUUAAUUUAUUUUACCCAUAUUGUAAGACAGUUUAUUUUACUGUAAGUUCUAAGAUCUAAGUCACACAGUAUUAACACAGUUAAACUGGAUAGCUUCAUCAGGUUAGUGAUUUUUUAUGAGCAGUAUGGCCAAAGUGAUAAAAAUAAAGAAUUUUAAUUUAAGCAAGUAAGCUCCACCUCCUCCUCCUCUGACAACUGGUCUUAACCUGAAAUAUUUUUAUAUACUGUAUCAUGCUUUUCUGAAUUACUAAAUACACUGAAAUAGUUAAUGAUUAAACACUGAGAGGAAACAGAAUUACACAGCAGAUGCAGAAAAAUGACCCCAGCAACUUGUGAACAACUAAAUAAAUAAAAGAAAGUAAUAAAAAAAUAAAUAAAUCACAGACAAUUACAAUGGCAACUCCAGCACAUUUAUGAGUUUGGAUGUAAGUUUGGGCUGAUGCUGAUCCAUGAAUCUGGAUCUGAUCCAUGAAUCUUGGGCUGAUGCUGAUCCAUGAUCCAUGCUACCAGUAUCACAGAGCCUCAAAGAGAACCACUUCAAACUGAUUACGGCCUUUAAAGUGAGAGAAUAAAAGGCCACUGAGGGGUCAGAUGACACAAGGGAAGUGUUUGAAGGGGACAGAGGCUUUUAUGGGUUUCUAAUCUCUACAAAAACAUACUUAAUAUAGCAAAUGGUUGGACUGUAUAUAAUGCUUAAAAUAUCUGUGAGUGUAAUGGGGUUAUGUGCAACAAACUUCUGUAUUCUGUAAAACAGGUCACGUCGCUUCUGGUUCAGGUCUUUUGUAUCCAUUAAAUAUAGAGCUGUUUACAAGAUAGGCAUACUCAAGAUACCUUCAAAGGAGAUACCAAAGAUGAUCAUAACUGAUGACCUUCACAUAUGCAGAUUGAUAUAUUAAAGUUUUUUUUUCUUUUUUUCUUCUCACUCUCAGUUGGAUAUUAAAAUUGAAUAAAACAGCAACAGUAAAAACAACUAGCUAAGUUAACUGAUUACCUUAAAAGUCCAUAAAAACCACUAUCAGUCAAUACUGCUAUUAACAUUUUUCCAAUAAGCGGAUGCAAUGAGAUCUAUUUUCUGGAUUGGUCAAGUGACAUUUGGCAUAUACCCCAUUAGGGACCAUCUCACAUGUCUGCUGACUCACGUUGGCCAGCCCUCUCCAGUAGAAACAGUGAAGAGGGUGAGAAAUGCCCACAGCACAUUGUCAUAGUGGAACUCAUAUUUCCUCCAUUCCCUGGGCUGGGCUUCCACUUCAUCCUUAUCGUAAUCCAAGAACAGCCCUCUAAUGAGCACAAAAACAAUGACAGAAAGAGCAAAUAAAAAGACAAACCCAUUCAAGAUGUCAGUUUUCAGAACACUGCUUACAGUAGUUUGAACCUGGUACUAUCAGUACACUUCAA
rnacentral:lncRNA from 1 species